rnacentral:lncRNA from 1 species
AUGUCUUUCUUUCGAAAAAGAAAAUAGGGACACAAAUCUGAAUUUUGAGCAAAUAUACAAAAUUUCGACCUCAUUUUACUCAAAAAGUAGCACAUGAAGGUAUAUUUUUUAUUACAUAUUUGAUUUAAUCAGAUAAAAAAUAGCCUAUAUGCAAAUUUUCAUCAACUUGAAAUGUUCAAAAACUGUAUCGUAUGCCCUUAAGUGCACCCGCUUUUUUAGAGGAUCAGUUAGAAGUUUGCCAUUUUGUUUAGUUUCAGUAAUACCACCAUAGUCAGUUGUUGUUUGUUUUUAACAUA